rnacentral:ncRNA from 1 species
AGUUGAGGUAGAGGCGCGACACAUCAAGAGUACUCCUGCGGAGGUACGAGAGGCCAAUGAUGCAGGAGGAAAGGGAUUGUCGCCGAAGCACAAUCCGAUUCUCGUAGGGUUGUGCUGGGCCUAUGCCGAAGAGGUAUAGGACUGUCACCAAAAAACUUCCCCGAGUUUUUUGGUGGAGCGCUACUUCAUAA